AGAGUUUGAUCCUGGCUCAGGAUAAACGCUGGCGGCGUGCCUAAUACAUGCAAGUCGAUCGAUAGAAGUCCAGCUUGCUGGACGGAAAUAGAGGCGAACGGGUGAGUAAUACGUAAGCAACCUGCCCACGAAGACCGGGAUAAUCCCUGGAAACGGGGACUAAGACCGGAUAGGUACACAGACCGCAUGAUCAGUGUAUUAAAGGAGAGAGACACUGGUGGAUGGGCUUACGGUGCAUUAGCUGGAUGGUGAGGUAACGGCCCACCAUGGCGAUGAUGCAUAGCCGGGCUGAGAGGCUGAACGGCCACAUUGGGACUGAGACACGGCCCAGACUCCUACGGGAGGCAGCAGUAGGGAAUUUUCGGCAAUGGGGGCAACCCUGACCGAGCAACGCCGCGUGAGUGAUGAAGGUCUUCGGAUUGUAAAGCUCUGUUGUAAGGGAAGAACGGCAUCUAGAGAAUAGGUGAGUGACGGUACCUUACCAGAAAGCUACGGCUAACUACGUGCCAGCAGCCGCGGUAAUACGUAGGUAGCGAGCGUUAUCCGGAAUUAUUGGGCGUAAAGGGUGCGUAGGCGGCCUGUUAAGUUUAUGGUGAAAGCGUGGGGCUCAACCCCAUAAAGCCAUAGAUACUGGCAGGCUAGAGUACUGGAGAGGGUAGUGGAAUUCCAUGUGUAGCGGUAAAAUGCGUAGAUAUAUGGAGGAACACCGGUGGCGAAGGCGGCUACCUAGACAGAGACUGACGCUGAGGCACGAAAGCGUGGGGAGCAAAUAGGAUUAGAUACCCUAGUAGUCCACGCUGUAAACGAUGAAUGCUAGGUAUCGGGGCGACCCGGUGCCGAAACUAACGCGAUAAGCAUUCCGCCUGUGGAGUAUGCACGCAAGUGUGAAACAUAAAGGAAUUGACGGGGGCCCGCACAAGCGGUGGAGUAUGUGGUUUAAUUCGACGCAACGCGAAGAACCUUACCAGGCCUUGACAUCCCUUGCAAAAUCCUGGAGACAGGAGGGAGGUUAUCAAGGAGACAGGUGGUGCAUGGUUGUCGUCAGCUCGUGUCGUGAGAUGUUGGGUUAAGUCCCGCAACGAGCGCAACCCUUGUGAUUAGUUGCUACGCAAGAGCACUCUAAUCAGACUGCCGUUGACAAAACGGAGGAAGGUGGGGACGACGUCAAAUCAUCAUGCCCCUUAUGACCUGGGCUACACACGUACUACAAUGGCAGUCAUACAGAGGGAAGCAAAACCGCGAGGUGGAGCAAAUCCCUAAAAGCUGUCCCAGUUCAGAUUGCAGGCUGCAACCCGCCUGCAUGAAGUCGGAAUUGCUAGUAAUCGCGGAUCAGCAUGCCGCGGUGAAU
rnacentral:rRNA from 1 species